rnacentral:rRNA from 1 species
AUUGAACGCUGGCGGCAUGCCUUACACAUGCAAGUCGAACGGUAACGGGCCUUCGGGUGCCGACGAGUGGCGAACGGGUGAGUAAUGUAUCGGAACAUACCUUUCAGUGGGGGAUAACGUAGCGACAGUUACGCUAAUACCGCAUAGUCUGUGAGCAGGAAAGCAGGGGAUCGCAAGACCUUGCGCGGAUUGAGCGACCGAUAUCAGAUUAGCUAGUUGGGGAGGUAAAGGCUCACCAAGGCGACGAGCUGUAGCGGGUCUGAGAGGAUGAUCCGCCACACUGGAACUGAGACACGGUCCAGACUCCUACGGGAGGCAGCAGUGGGGAAUUUUGGACAAUGGGGGCAACCCUGAUCCAGCCAUGCCGCGUGAGUGAAGAAGGCCUUCGGGUUGUAAAGCUCUUUCGGCCGGGAAGAAAUCGUAUGGGUUAAUACCCUGUGCGGAUGACGGUACCGGCAUAAGAAGCACCGGCUAACUACGUGCCAGCCGCCGCCGUAAAAC